rnacentral:misc_RNA from 1 species
UCAGAUGAAUUAUUUAAACAAGGUACUGCUUUUCUUAGGAGUUCUUUUCUGGCCCUUGUGAUUUUGAAGGACAAAACCUCUUGCAUUGACCAUAUGCUGUUCAUUUCCAAGUAAGCUUAGUAGCUUAUGAACUAGGAUAAUUUUAAAUGUGCCUAGUUAUUUACAAUUUACUAGAAAAACUUUUACUCUAAACUUUAGAUCUCUAGUAUUAUGAUGAACCCUUGAACUUCCUGAUGACAUGACUUUGCUGGAUUUGAGUAAUUUUAAGCUUUGAUUAUGUUCAGUAUAUCAUUAUUGUAAUCAGCCACAAUAUUCAUGUACAAAUUGAGAAUUUAUGCUACACAUUUUCUUUUCCUGUCGUUAUAGUAUAUUUAAUAAAUUUGGAUAGCCAACUCUUAAAGAAGCAUAGGGAGAAAUAGCACAAAAACUAAGAUGGUGUUCUGUAAAACUAAAAAUUAGGUGCUGCAACUUUAAAAGCUGAAUAAUUUUAAUGUUGAAAAUUUGAAGAGCUUUAGUAAUGAGAAAUUAAGGGCUGGAAUGUAAUUGAAUUAAAAGAGUUGAAAUUUAAAACUGAAGAAUCUGCUUUAAAUUUAAAUAUAUUGUUUUAUAUAUUAAACUAAGCAUGAAAUAGAAAGAUGAAUUGGCAAGGAUCAAGUAGUGAUGACUAUAUUAUUGUGUUGAUUGUAUCGGUAGCAAUGAUGGUGAUGGUGAUUGUGGUAGUAGUUGUUAUUGAUGAUUGCCAGGGUGAUAUUUGUGGUAUUAGUGGCAGCAAUAUCUGGAAGCAAUGGUGAAAAUCUUCUGCUUGCAGCCACAGAGCUGUAAAUUUUAAUACUGAGGGCAGUUAUGAUAACAAUAACAACAACAACUAAGCCUUAAAAAACAAUUACAGACAAUUCAUUUAAGCUGCAUCUCUGCACUGCAAUCUUCAAAGACGUUUGCUGGGUUUGGACUUGAGAAACCAUUAUUGCAAACCAGUUAUAAUUGUAGCAUUCAGCAGCUAGACAAUGCACUUGCACAUUCCCGAUCAAAGAAAUGCAAGUUAAGCAUCAGAACAAUGAACAAAAUAAAGGAUUUGAUUUAACAUGUUUUUU